rnacentral:rRNA from 1 species
CAGUAGCCGCGGUAAAACGUAGGUGGCAAACGUUGUCCGGAAUUAUUGGGCGUAAAGGGCUCGCAGGCGGUUUCUUAAGUCUGAUGUGAAAGCCCCCGGCUCAACCGGGGAGGGUCAUUGGAAACUGGGAAACUUGAGUGCAGAAGAGGAGAGUGGAAUUCCACGUGUAGCGGUGAAAUGCGUAGAGAUGUGGAGGAACACCAGUGGCGAAGGCGACUCUCUGGUCUGUAACUGACGCUGAGGAGCGAAAGCGUGGGGAGCGAACAGGAUUAGAUACCCCAGUAGUCCCUGUCUCUUAUAC